UACAGAGGGGGCAAGCGUUGUUCGGAAUUACUGGGCGUAAAGGGCGCGUAGGCGGCCCGCUAAGUCGAACGUGAAAUCCCCGAGCUCAACUCGGGAACUGCGUCCGAUACUGGCGGGCUUGAAUCCGGGAGAGGGAUGCGGAAUUCCAGGUGUAGCGGUGAAAUGCGUAGAUAUCUGGAGGAACACCGGUGGCGAAGGCGGCAUUCUGGACCAUAACUGACACUGAGAGACGAAAGCCAGGGGAGCAACGGG
rnacentral:rRNA from 1 species